UAGCUGCAGGUUUCCGCCGCGGACACCGACUUUCCGCGGCUCCUUAUUUUCCAGCAGUAAGCCCUGGAGGAGGAGGGAUCACGGACUACGGCAGACUACGGGCUAUACUUUCAGACUUGUGCUGUGUGAGUGAGGCGGGCGGAGGGUCCACGCCAGGAGACCGAAAAUAGCCCCGAAAGACGAUCCAGGAAUGACGGCCGCUACCGGAGGAGCUCCGCGGCACCGUACGUGAAGAUGAGGAUUCCUCCGGUGUGGGCGCUGGGCGCUUGCCAGACUGGGUGAAGUGAGAACUAAGAGGGAAAUCCACUGAGAACAAACCACCACCGGGGACUGCUGAGGAGGACCUCUGUGCAGGUUCACGCGGCCGUCGGCAGGGUGGAGCUUCCUGACCCAUGGAGAAUUACUUCCAGGCCGAGGCCUUCAACCUGGACAAGGUGCUGGACGAGUUCGAGCAGAACGAAGAUGAGACGGACACUCCCAUCCUCUCGGAUGCGAAGUGGACCCAGAUCCUGGCCCCUCCAGCCCACAUGCUGUCUCUGAACCCCGCCCUGGCCCACGCAGACCUCAGCCCCCGGGAGAGCCCCCUGCCCUUCAAGACCCUCCCCGACUCGUCCUCCAGCGCCUCUCCGGGAGCCGACCCCAAAAGACACCCCGGCCCCGAGCCUCCGUCCUGGGCAGAGGAGAGGCCGGCGGACGUCCACAGCCCCCCGCUGCCCCAGCCCAACAUCGGCAAGCUGGUGGGCACCGACGACCUCUCACCGCCCGCUGUGGAGAACGGCUGCCCGGCCAGCCCACAACCAGACGGGCUCAGCAGAGAGCCCGGUUCUGGAGCAGACGUCCAGCCUGGAGCUUCUGACCAGGAGGCUCAACAUGAGGAGAUCGCUGCUUCAGCCGGAGGAGGAGGACACGCUCUGUCUCACACUCACUUCACUUUUGAGGUGGGAUUAGGACAGGAGCAAGCAGAGAAAAUCCAUCCAGAUGUGGAGCAUAAAAUCCGUGCAGAUGUGGAGCAUAAAAUCCAUCCAGAUGUGGAGCAUUCGGCACAGAAUGGAGAAGGCCUUAAAGAUGAGAGCUGUUCAGAUGUUCUACAGGACUUUGGUUCAGAAAGGCAAACUGCAGACUCACAAGAGGAACAGAGAGAAAGUGUGAAUGUGGAGAAGGAGGAGCUGGAGGAGAACGGUGUGUCUCCUCCUGAGGACAAGGAACGGAGCUGUGGUCCAGAGGGACAAACAGACCAACUCCUCCUCAGAAUACCGAGCCUUCCCAACGGUUUGGAGCAGGAGAGCAGCUCCAAGCCGAAGGAGACGGAAGAGAAGGACGAGGAGGAGGAGGAGGAGGGCUUUUCUCCUUCUCCUGUCCCCUCCAAAGAGGACUCUGUGACUGAGGAGAAGGAGAUGGAGGAGAGCAAACAGGAGAGCGGCGAUGGAGGAGCAGGAGGGUCGGGGAACGUCCAACCAAAGCUCAACAACCGGCUGCAGCCCGUCAGCGUCCCGUACGGAGGGGCGCGACCCAAGCAGCCGGUCAGCCUCAAGCUCCAGAUCCCUCAGCCGCUGUCGGGCCAGGUCCAGAACCAGCUGGGCCCGUCUGCCGUCAGCAAGAACAAGAACCUGGAGAACCAGAGUCGGAGAGGGACUCCCUCUGAGACGCCGCCCAGCGGGCCGGACCAGAGCACGGUGGGCGUGAACGGAGACGGAGCCGUUCACUGUCCUGCCCCGAUGCCCUCAGAGAGCCCAGACAACGACCUCCAGGCCGGCCAGCAGGGCGCUCUGGGCAGGAAACCGGCCAGCUCCCUGGGAGAAGUGGCCCCUGUGUGGGUCCCUGACUCCCAGGCUCCCGUCUGCAUGAAAUGCGACGUCAAGUUCACCUUCACCAAGAGGAGGCACCACUGCAGGGCCUGCGGGAAGGUGUUCUGUGCGGCGUGCUGCAGCCUGAAGUGUCGGCUGGUGUACAUGGACAGGAAGGAGGCUCGAGUUUGUGUCACCUGUCACUCUGCUCUCACUAACGCUCAAUCAUGGGAGACGCCGUCCACUGCGAGCAAUCAGAGUCCGAACCCCAACAACCCGGCCGAGUACUGCUCCACCAUCCCUCCCCUGCAGCAGGCCCAGGCCUCUGGGGUGCUCAGCUCGCCUCCUCCCACCGUCAUGGUGCCUGUAGGAGUCCUGAAACAACCCGGCAAUGAGGCGUCGAUCUCUCGGGAGCAGAGGAGGGUUUGGUUUGCUGAUGGAGUUCUACCAAACGGAGACGCAGCAGAAUCGCCCAAACCUGCGACCUCCAGCGCCGGCCCCUCUCAGUCGCUCGCCAUCUCCACGUAUUCCAAUAAAUCCUCCUCUUCUGAGGCCUCAGAGGCGGCCCAUCCUCCUGUUGCCCCGGUGGGCAGCCCCGUGGGCAGCUCCCUCAGCCUGAUCCCGGAGGACGGACUCCCUCCCAUCCUCAUCUCCACCGGAGUCAAAGGAGGUACGGGAGGCCACAUCACAGAUUAUGCGGUGGAGGAGAGGCCGUCUGAGAUCGUCCUGAUGCAGCAGCUGGAGGAAGGAGGUCCAGACCCGCUGGUGUUUGUGCUCAACGCCAACCUGCUGGCCAUGGUCAAGCUGGUCAACUACGUAAACAGGAAGUGCUGGUACGUGACGACGAAGGGCAUGCACGCUGUCGGCCAGGCGGAGGUCGUCAUCCUGCUCCAGUGUCUCCCAGACGAGAAGACCGUUCCCAAAGACAUCUUCACCCACUUCGUGCAGCUCUACCAGGAGGCCCUCAGUGGUAACGUGCUGGGCCACCUGAGUCACUCGUUCUUCACGCAGAGCUUCCUGGGCAGUAAGGAGCACGGCGGCUUCCUCUACAUCAGCCCCUCCUUCCAGUCGCUGCAGGACCUGCUGCUGCCCAACCCGCCCUACCUCUUCGGCAUCCUCAUCCAGAAGUGGGAGACUCCCUGGGCCAAGGUCUUCCCCAUCCGCCUCAUGCUACGACUGGGAGCAGAGUACCGAUUUUAUCCAUGUCCACUGUUCAGCGUUCGCUUCAGGAAACCUCUUUUCGGAGAGACAGGUCACACUAUCAUGAAUCUGCUUGCUGACUUCCGUAACUACCAGUACACGCUGCCGGUGGUGAAAGGUCUGGUUGUGGACAUGGAGGUGAGGAAGACGAGCAUCAAGAUCCCCAGUAAUCGCUACAACGAGCUGAUGAAGGCCAUGAACAAGUCCAACGAACACGUGCUCGCCAUGGGGGCGUGUUUCAACGACCGCGCUGACUCCCACUUGGUGUGCGUCCAGAACGACGACGGGAACUACCAGACGCAGGCCAUCAGCAUCCAUCACCAGCCUCGCAAAGUUACCGGAGCCUGCUUCUUUGUGUUCAGUGGUGCUUUGAAAGCCUCGUCCGGCUUCUUGGCCAAGACCAGCAUCGUGGAAGACGGAGUCAUGAUCCAGAUCACGGCUGAGACCAUGGACUCUCUACGGCAAGCCCUGAGGGACAUGAAGGACUUCACCAUCACGUGUGGGAAAGCCGACCAGGAGGAGAACCAGGAGCUGGUCCACAUCCAGUGGACGGAGGACGACCACAACUUCAACAAGGGCGUCAUCAGCCCGAUUGAUGGGAAGUCCAUGGAGUCCAUCACCAGCGUCAAGAUCUUCCACGGUUCAGAGUUCAAAGCUAACGGCAAAGUCAUCCGCUGGACCGAGGUUUUCUUCCUCCAGAGUGAAGACCAGCCCAACGGUCUCAGCGACCCGGCCGACCACAGCCGUCUGACAGAGAACGUGGCGAGAGCGUUCUGCAUGGCUCUGUGUCCUCACCUGAAGCUGCUGAAGGAGGACGGCAUGGCCAAGCUGGGGCUGAGGGUCACGCUGGACUCAGACCAGGUGGGUUACCUGGCAGGAAGUAACGGUCAGCCUCUCCUGCCUCAGUACCUGAGCGACCUGGACAGCGCUCUGAUCCCCGUCAUCCACGGCGGGGCCUGUCAGCUGAGCGAGGGCCCGGUGGUCAUGGAGCUGGUCUUCUACAUCCUGGAGAUCAUCUCGUAGGACCUGGAGACGCCCCGCCUACCCGCAGCCUUCACCUCCAGGCUUUUUAUAACCUUCAGAUGUCAUCUCCAUCGUCUCCCUCCCAAACCGUUUGCACUUCAGAAAAGCCCGAUAACUGUGGCGUGCCGGGCGGGGUAGCAUUCCUCCUUCAAACCUAUGCAUCGCCCACCGUCUGCUCGGCUCCAGAGGCCGUCAGGAAGCUCACCUGAGACCUCAGCUGUCAGGUGAUGUCCGGUCAUCUCCACAGAUCUGUCAGCGUCUGUCCUGAUCCCCACACCGUCAGCGAUGAGCAGAUAACGCAGAACAGCCUGAGAUGAGGAGAAAAACCCACAUUUAGGAGGAUAGAAAAGCUAAUUCUGUCGUAGCAGAUAAAUAUGUUAUUGCUGCAAGUUUCCGUCUGAUGAAAUACUGAAGUGAGGUUUGGAUUUUAUUUCAGACGACUGACAGAGUGAUUUUUUUUUCCGUCAGGUCGGUCAGUCAGGUGGUGAUUUGUGGAUUCACUUCUUGUGUUUGUCGAGUGUCUCAGAGCAGCUCAGAUGAUAUUCAGGACAUUAAUGAAGUAUGAAGGGAAACAGAACCGUGAUUUGUGUAAACACAGCGGUCGGACGAGCUGUGAACUCAAAAAACUAGAAGAACUGCAUUUUCUCUGUGAGGUUACAAAGAGGCCAGUUUGUAUAGAGAGAAUAUGCUCUCCUGCACCGUUAAUAUUCCUGCAGGGAUGACAUCAGAAAAAACAUCAACCAAAAUCCAGCAAAAUUCACUGGAUUCUGGUUGAUUUUUUUCUUAAUGUUCUUAAAGAAAAUAUUAAAAGUUUUACUGAUAUAUAUAUAUAUAUAUAUAUAUAUAUAUGUAUGUGUGUGUGUGUGUGUGUGUGUGUAUAUAUGUGUGUGUGUAAUCAUGUUGCAUAUUUUUAGGAUUUUUUUUGGGAAGAUUUUUACUCAUUUUUUGAUAUGUACACGAAUUUUCUUGCCAAAUUUAGGGAUUUUUUUAAAAAAAAUCAAACUUUUCAAGGAAAUUUUUAAGGAAUUAGUGGAAUUUUCUUUCUGAAGGUUUUUGCAAAUUCUCUGAAUUUUGGGGAAUUUUUUUGCUGAUUUUUUUAAUGUUUUUUUUUGGUGUCCAUAAAUGAAGACAACAGGAGGGUUAAAGGGUCUGCAUGAGCUGCUGUGGACUCUGAUUGGAGGAGAGUCACUUCCUUCAUUUAGAUGCAGGAAGUUUUUUUCAUCUUCUGGAGUGGACCGUCUGUAGGGCCGCUUUUGGCCCGCGGACUGCAUGUUGGACACCUGCUGUAAAUAAAGAGAGUAGGAAGUUGUUCUUUCAGUGUUUUUCUGAGUCAAACUUUACUCUGAUGUGGUUCAGGCUGACUUCUGGUCCCGGUGUGGCCGUUUAGGACGGAGCUUCUUUUUCUGAGACACUCGAUAAAUGCAGGUUCUGACCUCAGGUUCAGGUCCGACGGACUGCAGGUUUGUGGGUAUCUGGACAGAGCUGGUGUCUAAUGUAGCUCCAGCGUCACUGUGGAGGUCCUGAAGCACUGAACUCUGGGUAAAAAAAAAAGCCCGCCUCUGUGUAGCACGGACGCCACUCCGAGGGAGACUCAUCCACCUGUGAAAAGUUCAGACCUUUCCUUAGAAGUUUAGAAAGGGAAGAGAGGAGGGAGGAGGUUAGUUUUAUUUGCACCGUGGUGCUCAGUGCCUGCAGCAGCGAUUCAUCAACGGAGAGAAGAUUAAAAAAAACAAAACACUCAUCUGGGUUUCACUUCUUAAGCUUUACUUCACUGACUCUCUGUACAGGUUUUUGUAGGCGGAAGGAUUCCUGCUCCAUCUGUAGCCUCCGGAGAUCCCAGAAUUCCUGAAGGACCGUCCUCGCUCUGUCAGAUAGGAUCACCCGCUACUCUGACGUCAAAACGCCCUGAUUUAAAAAAGACGCAGUGCACUGGAUUCUAAGCCAUUUAGAGGAGAGUUAAAGCGAGCGUCCUGGAGAACGUCGGUGGUUUGUUCCUGCAGAACCAGAAGCUGAAUGUAUUUCAUCUCGCAUCGUCUGCAUCCUUCCAAAGCCCCCGAAAUCUUUAAACUCUUUAAAACUCUGCAGACCUGAACAGGAACCCAACGCGUUGAUUCCAGACGGAGCUGGACCGGACGAUCCUUCACAAACAUGGACCUGUAGAAUUAAAAAAAUGAAGAAGAAAAUCUAAGAAUGUAUUUCUCGUUUCUGUUCAAAUCUGCAAAAUGUGCUUUUGUUUCCAGACUAAUCACCAAAAACCCCGUCAUGUGGACUGUACAGUAACCGUCUUUAACCGUGUCAUGAGACCAGAAGGGGCUACUGACCAGAGAAAAAACAAAAAACUAUCUCAUCAAAAAGUCAGAAUCAGACAAUCACAGGAAAAUCUGCAGAAGAGCCGACGCUUAGUGCGAAUUAGACCCUGUAGCUGUUCUGUUCAUCGCUCAGUCUGAAGUAUUUUAGAAGCUCCUGUAGCAAAGAAACGUUAAAGACCCAACGAGAGGUCGAGGGCCGCCGCCAACGGGUUAAUUUACUGUGAUCUACCAGAGGUGGCGCCGCCCCAAUCACUGUGUCUUCACUGUUCCUCAGCCUGUUCUCAAAAAUUAUCAGUAGGGAUGUCUGAUGUCUUUUUAACUGAUAACUGAUAACUGAUAUGCCGAUAUCGUCCAAAUCUCAAUUUCCAAUUCCGAUAUCAACCGAUCCCGAUAUCUGUGGGUUAUUUAGCUAAUUCUAGGUAACAUCUCAUAUCUCCUGUGGUGGAAUUAACACAUCGUUCCUCAUUUUAUUGUGAUGCCCCAUUGGAUGCAUUCUCAGAUGAAACGAGGCUUUCAGAUGGAAACAUUAUCUGUAAAAUAAGAAAACUACUUCAACUGAAGUUAUGGAAAAAAUGACAUAUUUAUGACAUUUUAUUAUUUUUUUUUAUUGUCUCAAACAACAGUUCACACUCUCCCUCCCUCCCUCUAUGAGUCUUUUACAUAAAUCCAGGCAUUAUUUUAUCAGUUUUCUUGAUAGGCAAAAAAAAAAAAAUGAUAUUGACCGAUAUUACAUUUUUAUGCCAGUAUCGGGCCGAUAUUAUUAAUGGGCUGAUAUUAUCAGACAUUAGUAAUCCUCAUGCUUUCUCUUCAUGAUGCUUAUAAUGAAGGAUGUCUGAUAAUAUCGGCCCACUGAUACUAUUGGUCCGAUAUCGGCAUAAAAAUGUAAUAUCGGUCAAUAUUGUUAUUGUUUUUUGCCUAUCAUAAAAAAUGAUAAAAUAAUGCCUGGAUUUACCGACUCAUAGAGAGAGGGAGAAUGUGAACUGUAUUUGAGACAAUUAAAAAAAAAAGGCAUAAAUGUAUUUUUUUCCAUAACUUUAGUUGAAAUGGUUUUAUUUUGCACAGACAAUAUUUCCAUCUGAAAGCCUUGUUUCAUCUGAGAAUGCAUCCAAUGGAGCAUCACAAUAAAAUGAGGCAUGAUGUGUUAAUUCCACCACAGGAGAUAUGAGAUGUUACCUAGAAUUAGUUAAAUAACCCACAAAUAUUGGUAUCGAUUGUUAUCGGAAUCGGAAAUUGAGAGUUGGACGAUAUCGGUUAUCGGCAGAAAAGACAAUAUUAGACAUACCUCGCGAGGAUUUGUUUUUAUUUUUCUGUUUUUUCUGUUCCGUUUUAUUUUUUUGGCAUUAUCUGACGUGUGCAAUAUGUCCUAAGUCCAAAAAAAGGUGCAAUUUGUUUGGGGAGAUAAAAAAGUAGCAUUUGUUUUGUAUUCAGUUGUAAAAUGUUCUGAAUCCAAACUAUAACUCUGCAUGCAAACAGAAACGGUGAGAGAGCGACUCAACUCUGCAUUUUAACAGUUAAAUAUCCUGGAAACAAAAAAACACUCAUUCAGUUCUGUCUUUAAUGGGAUUUGUUCAUUAUUUUUUCUUUUUAAAAAAUAAAUAUUAGUCAAAAACGUUUGAAAAGCCAAAAAUAUUUUUUCUUUACUCUUCAAAUGUCAAGAAAAGUGGUCUUUAUCAAAUGAGAAAAACAAAAACCUGUAGUAUAUGUAAAAUAAAAACUUAUAGAAAACUGAAA